rnacentral:rRNA from 1 species
AUUGAACGCUGGCGGCAGGCCUAACACAUGCAAGUCGAGCGGAUGAAGGGAGCUUGCUCCUGGAUUCAGCGGCGGACGGGUGAGUAAUGCCUAGGAAUCUGCCUGGUAGUGGGGGAUAACGUCCGGAAACGGGCGCUAAUACCGCAUACGUCCUGAGGGAGAAAGUGGGGGAUCUUCGGACCUCACGCUAUCAGAUGAGCCUUGGUCGGAUUAGCUAGUUGGUGGGGUAAAGGCCUACCAAGGCGACGAUCCGUAACUGGUCUGAGAGGAUGAUCAGUCACACUGGAACUGAGACACGGUCCAGACUCCUACGGGAGGCAGCAGUGGGGAAUAUUGGGCAAUGGGCGAAAGCCUGAUCCAGCCAUGCCGCGUGUGUGAAGAAGGUCUUCGGAUUGUAAAGCUCUUUAAGUUGGGAGGAAGAGCAGUAAGUUAAUACCUGGCUGUUUUGACGGUACCAACAGAAUAAGCACCGGCUAACUUCGUG